AGUGGCGCACGGGUGAGUAACACGUGAAUUAUCUACCUCCGAGUGGGGAAUAACUGAGAGAAAUCUUACCUAAUACCGCAUAACACUUACGAGUCAAAGCAGCAAUGCGCUUGGAGAGGAGUUCGCGGCAGAUUAGUUAGUUGGCGGGGUAAUGGCCCACCAAGACGAUGAUCUGUAUCCGGCCUGAGAGGGCGCACGGACACACUGGAACUGAAACACGGUCCAGACUCCUACGGGAGGCAGCAGUGGGGAAUUUUGCGCAAUGGGGGAAACCCUGACGCAGCAACGCCGCGUGGAGGAUGAAGCCCCUUGGGGUGUAAACUCCUUUCGAUAGGGAAGAUAAUGACGGUACCUAUAGAAGAAGCCCCGGCUAACUUCGUGCCAGCAGCCGCGGUAAUACGAGGGGGGCAAGCGUUUUCGGAAUUAUUGGGCGUAAAGGGUGCGUUGGCGGUUGGCAAGUCUUAUGUGAAAUCUUCGGGCUCAACCCGAAGCCUGCAUGAGA
rnacentral:rRNA from 1 species